GAGUGUAUAUCCACACCGGGCAAGCUUGAAAAAUAUGCCUAGUUGGUAUGCUAGUAUUCCAAAGGUCGUAGGUUUGAUUCCCACCAUGGCCAGGCAUAUUUUAAUAUUUUUCAAGCUUGCCCGGUGUGGAUAUAUACACUCAAGAGUCUU